GGCAAAAGCUCAAAUUUGAAAUCUGGCACUUUCAGUUGUCCGUGUUGUAAUUUGAAGAAGGUAUCUUUGGGUCUGGCUCUUGUCUAUGUUUCUUGGAACAGAACGUCACAGAGGGUGAGAAUCCCGUGCGAUGAGAUGUCCCAGACCUAUGUAAAGUUCCUUCGAAGAGUCGAGUUGUUUGGGAAUGCAGCUCUAAGUGGGUGGUAAAUUCCAUCUAAAGCUAAAUAUUGGCGAGAGACCGAUAGCGAACAAGUACAGUGAUGGAAAGAUGAAAAGAACUUUGAAAAGAGAGUGAAAAAGUACGUGAAAUUGUUGAAAGGGAAGGGCUUGAGAUCAGACUUGGUAUUUUGUAUGUUACUCUCUCGGGGGUGGCCUCUACAGUUUACCGGGCCAGCAUCAGUUUGAGCGGUAGGAUAAGUGCAAAGAAAUGUGGCACUGCUUCGGUAGUGUGUUAUAGUCUUUGUCGAUACUGCCAGCUUAGACUGAGGACUGCGGCUUCGGCCUAGGAUGUUGGCAUAAUGAUCUUAAGUCGCCCGUCUUGAAACACGGACCAAGGAGUCUAACGUCUAUGCGAGUGUUUGGGUGUAAAACCCGUACGCGUAAUGAAAGUGAACGUAGGUAGGACCUCCUUUAGGAGUGCACUAUCGACCGAUCCUGAUGUCUUCGGAUGGAUUUGAG
rnacentral:rRNA from 1 species